rnacentral:rRNA from 1 species
UGAGGAAUAUUGGUCAAUGGGCGGAAGCCUGAACCAGCCAAGUCGCGUGAGGGAAUAAGGCCCUACGGGUCGUAAACCUCUUUUGCCGGGGAGCAAGGGCGGGGACGUGUCCCGGCCCGGAGAGUACCCGGAGAAAAAGCAUCGGCUAACUCCGUGCCAGCAGCCGCGUAAUCUAG